UCGCCGCCGCCGACGUCGCGAGAAGUCCACUGAACCUUAUCAUUUAGAGGAAGGAGAAGUCGUAACAAGGUUUCCGUAGGUGAACCUGCGGAAGGAUCAUUGUCGAUGCCUACAAAGCAAAACGACCAGCGAACCGUUUCUCAACACACGGGACCGGAGGGGCGUUGCUGCCCGGUAUCCCCAAGCUUCGGAUGCUUGAGGGUGCGAUCCGCCCCCAGCAGAUGGAGCAUCAAACACACCCCGGCGUGCAAAGCGCCAAGGUACUACAACGGUAGGGCAAGCACCCGUACGCCGGGAAUCCGGCGCGUUCGGGUGUCUGUUCGGGAUCAUAAUAACGACUGUGUGAAUUGCAGAAUCCCGUGAACCAUCGAGUCUUUGAACGCAAGUUGCGCCCGAAGCCUUGGCCGAGGGCACGCCUGCCUGGGUGUCACACAUCGCGUUGCGUCCAAAACCUUUCCCCUUGUAACACUGUGGCGAUGGUUUGGACGCGGAAGAUGGCUUCCCGUGGCCGAGAGCCACGGAUGGCCGAAAAUUGUGCUAGGGAAGCGAAGCACCACGGCGUUCGGUGGUCGGAACAGCCCAUGAGGCGUUGAAGCCCGUGGUAGCCGCGAGAGUCCCCAGCCCACGACCCUAAUCGUUAACCGACGCGACCUCAGGUCAGGCGGGGCUACCCGCUGAGUUUAAGCAUAUCAAUAAGCGGAGG
rnacentral:rRNA from 1 species